rnacentral:rRNA from 1 species
UACGGGGGGGGCAAGCGUUGUUCGGAAUUACUGGGCGUAAAGGGCUCGUAGGCGGCCAACUAAGUCAGACGUGAAAUCCCCCGGCUUAACCUGGGAACUGCGUCUGAUACUGGGAGGCUUGAGUAUGGGAGAGGGAUGUAGAAUUCCAGGUGUAGCGGUGAAAUGCGUAGAUAUCAGGAGGAACACCGGUGGCGAAGGCGGGUCUCUGGGCCGAUACUGACGCUGAGGAGCGAAAGCGUGGGGAGCAAACAGG